rnacentral:rRNA from 1 species
AUUGAACGCUGGCGGCAGGCUUAACACAUGCAAGUCGAGCGGGGUGAUGGUGCUUGCACUAUCACUUAGCGGCGGACGGGCGAGUAAUGCUUAGGAAUCUGCCUAUUAGUGGGGGACAACAUCUCGAAAGGGAUGCUAAUACCGCAUACGUCCUACGGGAGAAAGCAGGGGAUCACUUGUGACCUUGCGCUAAUAGAUGAGCCUAAGUCGGAUUAGCUAGUUGGUGGGGUAAAGGCCUACCAAGGCGACGAUCUGUAGCGGGUGUGAGAGGAUGAUCGCCACACUGGGACUGAGACACGGCCCAGACUCCUACGGGAGGCAGCAGUGGGGAAUAUUGGACAAUGGGGGGAACCCUGAUCCAGCCAUGCCGCGUGUGUGAAGAAGGCCUUAUGGUUGUAAAGCACUUUAAGCGAGGAGGAGGCUCUUUUGGUUAAUACCCAAGAUGAGUGGACGUUACUCGCAGAAUAAGCACCGGCUAACUCUGUGCCAGCAGCCGCAGUAA